UACGGAGGAUGCAAGCGUUGUUCGGAUUCACUGGGCGUAAAGGGUGCGCAGGUGGGUUGGCAAGUUCGAUGUGAAAGCCCCGGGCUUAACCCGGGAAUGGCAUUGGAAACUGCUGAUCUGGAGGAUCGGAGGGGGGACUGGAAUUCUUGGUGUAGCAGUGAAAUGCGUAGAUAUCAAGAGGAACACCAGUGGCGAAGGCGAGUCCCUGGACGAUACCUGACACUGAGGCACGAAAGCCAAGGGAGCAAACAGG
rnacentral:rRNA from 1 species